UCGAAAUCGAAAGUCUAGGCGGGGGGGAAGGGGGGCGKACRAAGGUCCUUUGCUCGAGGGGACUCGCGUCCUUCGGAASWCYCUAGUCCUAGCUCUUCGGACCCUCCGGAGCUUCGACGUUCUCAACACCUGUGUGCACCUGCUGUAGGUCCUUCGGGACCUACGUCUUCUCUUUCCAACUCGCAUGUCUACAGAAUGUGUGCGUCGCUCCGGCGACGGCGAACCUUAUAUAACUUUCAGCAAUGGAUCUCUUGGCUCUCGCAUCGAUGAAGAACGCAGCGAAUCGCGAUAAGUAAUGUGAAUUGCAGAUCUUCCGUGAAUCAUCGAAUCUUUGAACGCACCUUGCGCUCCUCGGUAUUCCGAGGAGCAUGCCUGUUUGAGUGUCAUCGAAACCUCGAACCGAAGCUCUCGACCCCGUCGGAGCUCGGUUUCGGACUGUGGGAGUCUGCGGGCGGCGACGUCGGCUCUCCUCAAAAGCAUUAGCUGUGGGUGCGAACCUCGUGUGGCACGGCCUCGUUCRACGUCGUAAUGAUCGUCGCGGGGCUGGAAGCGUGAGGSAUUMKAMGUGGUCCCAUGCUUCUCAACUCUCUGCGCCCCGUGCGCGUCAAGG
rnacentral:sRNA from 1 species